rnacentral:rRNA from 1 species
CCUACGGGGGGCAGCAGUGGGGGAUAUUGCACAAUGGGGGGAACCCUGAUGCAGCGACGCCGCGUGGGCGAAGAAGCACCUCGGCGCGUAAAGCCCUGUCAGCAGGGAAGAAAAUGACGGUACCUGACUAAGAAGCCCCGGCUAACUACGUGCCAGCAGCCGCGGUAAUACGUAGGGGGCAAGCGUUAUCCGGAUUUACUGGGUGUAAAGGGGGCGCAGGCGGCGAUGCAAGCCUGAAGUGAAAGCCCGGGGCUCAACCCCGGGACUGCAUUGGAAACUGGGUGGCUGGAGUGCAGGAGGGGAAAGAGGAAUUCCUGGUGUAGCGGUGAAAUGCGUAGAUAUCAGGAGGAACACCAGUGGCGAAGGCGGCCUGCUGGACGGCAACUGACGUUGAGGCCCGAAAGCGUGGGGAGCAAACAGGAUUAGAUACCCGUGUAGUC